CUCAGUCACGCAUAACACAACAUAGAUAGAUAAUGUCGACCCUCUCGCUUUCUCUCUCUCUCUAAAAGAGAGAAAAUAAAUAUAAUUCUAGGCGAAGGUUCAGAAUUUCUGGUCACUAUUUCUUUUUUGUUAGCAGCAAGCCGCAUUGCAAUUUGUUAUUUUCGCUUUACUCUGUGAAGUGAAGCUGUUAGAGAGAGAAAGCGCUCUCCGUUGAGUUAGAUCUCUGUUCCUUACUUUGCUGGUUGCUAGACCUCUGCAAUUUCCACAUUUUUUCUGUUAAAUUUUCUGUGUUUUGUUUUAUGGGAAUUCUCUCUCUCUGAGAUUAGAUAGUCUCUGCUACUUUUUUCUAAUCUCUUUUCUCUCUCUUUGUUCUUUGGGCCCAACAAAUCCUCUAUGUUAUAUCCUUCUGAUUUUUAUGUGCUUCAAGAUUGCCUUUUGCUACUAGGGUUUACGGGUGCCUUAGGAAUUCAGGAUUUUUACGUGAAAUUAAGUGGGAUUCUUAAGAUAAAUUUGGAUUACGAGUUGCUAAAUUUUAUUCAUCAGGUGUUUUUUUUUUAGCUUCACUUUUUCAUUUUUCUUUUCCCUUCUCUUUCUGUCUCUCUACAAUGAUAAUCAAGCGCAACUUGAAAUCACAAAUGCCGAGUCUUAAACGCCGCAAGCUUGGCGACUCGGCAGGUCAAGACGACGAUAGCGCAGCUUCGACUCGGAAGAAACGGAAACUAAACGGCUAUUAUCCUCUCAAUCUUCUUGGUGAGGUGGCCACGCGCAUAAUUCCGGUUGGCCUUCGUGGGAUUCUCGGCUCCUCCAACAUGGAUUCCGACAAGGGAUUUGCUGCCUCUUGGUGCACUAAAGUGUCUUGCUCCCCUCCAGGUGAAGUGGAGUCGGAGCCUAAAUCCAAAGCUCGAGAUUCAACAAGAGCAAAUAAUCGGACAGUGGAGGUCUCACGUCCCCCACUUGUGCGGACAACAAGAGGGCGGGUUCAGGUACUUCCUUCACGGUUUAACGAUUCAUUUAUUGACAAUUGGAGAAAAGAGAGUAAGAUUAGCUUGCGUGAUUAUAGUUUUGAUGGCGAUAUUCAAAGUGAUAACCAAACGACAAGGAGGGAUAAAGAUAGAGAUAAAUUCAGUUUCCGAACACCAAAAACAUGUUCUAGCAAUGUGAAGAAACAGAGAACCGAGGAGAGAAUUGGAUAUACGUCUCGUAAAUAUGCAACUUUGUGUGAGGAAGAAGAUGGAGGACAAUUGGGGUUUAAGAAGAACUUGAGUUCACGCAGUAUGCUCACUUCACUACAUGAGCAAUUGAUGGAAGAUGAGAAGUGUGCAGUUGUAGACUUAAGCAGCUUGGAGAGGCCAGAUAGGAAAGAUGGGUUGUAUGGACCGGAGGAUUUCUAUUCAGGUGAUAUCGUGUGGGCAAAGUCGGGGAAGGAGGACCCAUUUUGGCCAGCCAUCGUGAUUGAUCCAAUGACGCAGGCGCCAGAGCUGGUUUUGAGGUCCUGCAUACCUGAUGCAGCUUGUGUCAUGUUUUUUGGUAACUCUGGGCAUGAAAAUCAAAGGGAUUAUGCUUGGCUUAGACGGGGGAUGAUCUUUCCAUUUACAGAUUUUGUAGACUGGUUCCAGGAGCAGUCUGAAUUGAUGGACCGUAAGCCUGGUGAUUUCCAGAUGGCAAUUGAGGAAGCAUUUCUGGUAGAACAGUGGUUUACUGAGAAGUUGAUACAGGAUAUAAACUUGGAAGCGGGGAAUGCAACUUAUGAUGAAACUGUUUUCAGAUGGCUUCAAGAAGCUACUGGUUCCAACCAAUACCAGGACUGUCACUCUCCAAGGCAGGAUAUGUCUGGAAACGAUAAAAGCAUGCGACCUUGUGAAGGUUGCGGCAUGAACCUUCCUCUUAAAUUGUCAAAGAAAAUGAAGGCUUUGACUCCUGGAGGCCAAUUCUUAUGCAAAAAAUGUGCUCGGUUAACAAAAUCAAAACAUUAUUGUGGAAUAUGCAAGAAGAUUUGGAAUCAUUCAGACAAUGGGAGCUGGGUGCGCUGUGAUAGUUGUAAGGUUUGGGUCCAUGCUAAGUGUGACAAAAUUUCCAACAACAGUUUUAAGGUAUGUCCAUCACACUUAAUAAUGUCAUAUCAUAUCAUCAUUCCAUCACAUUAAUGGAAUUUAACAUAUCAUUCCAUGACCAACCUUUUAUGCUUGAAGGAUCUGGGGGCCACUAAUUAUUACUGCCCUGCUUGCAAAGCAAAAUUCAAUUUUGAAUUGUCUGAUUCAGAGAAAGGGCAGCCAUAAUCGAAGUGAUAUUCUUUUAAAAAUACAAAAUUUGUCUUUCUUAAUGAAUUUAUAUAUAAUGACUUGAAUGUUUUUAUUGGUUGAACAGAAGUAAUGGUCAACCAACACUGCCCAACAAAGUUUCUGUUUUCUGCUCAGGAGUAGAAGGAAUAUAUUUCCCAAGCCUUCAUCUGGUUGUGUGUAAAUGUGGGUCUUGUGGGCCAGAAAAGCAAGCACUUAGUGAAUGGGAACGCCAUACAGGUUCCAAAAUUAAAAAUUGGAGGACCAGUAUUAGGGUGAAAGGUUCCAUGUUGCCACUAGAACAAUGGAUGAUGCAGUUAGCAGAAUAUCAUGCACGUGCUGUUUCUACCAGACCUCCAAAGCGACCUUCCAUUAAAGAGAGGAAGCAGAAGUUGCUUGCAUUUUUACAAGAGAAAUAUGAACCUGUUUAUGCAAAGUGGACAACAGAGCGUUGUGCUGUAUGUAGAUGGGUUGAAGAUUGGGAUUACAACAAAAUUAUUAUCUGCAACAGGUGUCAGAUAGCCGUUCAUUAAGAAUGCUAUGGAGCAAGGAAUGUUCAGGACUUUGCUUCAUGGGUUUGCAAGGCAUGUGAAACACCUGAUGUUAAGUGGGAGUGUUGCCUUUGUCUGGUAAAAGGUGGUGCUCUAAAGCCAACUGAUGUUGAAACACUAUGGGUUCAUGUUACAUGUGCUUGGUUUCAACCUGAAGUCUCCUUUGCAAGUGGUGAAAAGAUGGAACCCGCUCUUGGGAUCUUAUGUAUCCCUACGAAUUCUUUUGCAAAGGUAGAAUCUUCAUUUUUGUUAGCAAUAAUGUCCUGUCAGGAUUGUUGGUAUCAAAACAUUAGUCAAAUUGAUCCAUUAAAACAUGUCCUGCAUAAAUUGAAGAUGGUAUUUCUGCAAUCAAUACUUUCGCCUUUUUUUUCUUUGUUUUGGUCUGAGCUCCUUUGUCUUUUUAGAGAAAUGAAAAACAUGUGAGAUGCUUUAUCUAUUAGUUUUUACAAUAGCCUACAGAUGCUUUAUAAUGCAUCGUGUCAUCAUCAGUCGUGAGUUGUCUCUCUUUCCCAAUCUUGUCUUCAAAUUUACUCUUACGGCUAUACUCUUUGGCAAUGGAUGCAAUCUCAAAUGUGUUUUAUUGGCACGAACUGCAGAUUUGUGUCAUAUGUAGGCAAAUUCAUGGUUCGUGCACUCAAUGUUGCAAGUGUUCCACUUAUUACCAUGCAAUGUGUGCUUCAAGGGCAGGGUAUCACAUGAAGGUAAGUUACUUGAUUGUUGUCUGUUAGCAAAACCUGUUGCUAUAAUUAUUGUGCCUUAGACAUGCAAAAUAAACACGCUAUUUGGUCAUUUUGCUUUUAUUAUAUGGACGAACCGGAUGUAGGUUUUUCUUGCCGGUUAUAUUUUCUGUCUUACUUGUAGUUGCAUUGCUUUGAGAAAAAUGGGAGACAAACUACAAAAAUGGUUUCAUAUUGUGCAUAUCACAGGUACAGAGUCCUCGUUUGUGAUCCUGAAGCUAAUCACUAUUCCCUUGAUUCUUUUUUUAUAGAGCUUAUAUUUGUCUUAAUGUCUGUAGUGUGACCUUCAUAUUUGUCAAGACACAUUAUAUUUAAUCUACAUCCAUAUUCUAUUCUCACAGUUCUAUUUCUGGUGCAGGGCUCCAAAUCCAGAUACAGUUUUGAUUAUUCGGACUCCACUAGUUGUGUUUUCUGCCAAAAGCCUUAUUCAAAGUAAGAAGAGGGCUAGUACAAGGUUAAUUUCAUCCAACAGAGCAAAACUUGAAGAGUUGUCAACUGAAGAAACCACUAAGGUUGAGGCACUCUCUGCUGCAAGGUGUCGGGUCUCUAAAAGAGUGAACAACAAUAAGAAGAGAACAGAAGAGGAAGCCAUUUCCCACCAAUUGACUGGACCUUGUCAUCAUCCGUUAGGCGUAAUACAGAGUUUGAAUGCAUUCAGAGUAGUUGAAGAGCCUAAAAGUUUUUGUUCUUUCAAAGAGAGGCUUUACCACUUGCAGAGAACUGAAAAUGAUCGAGUUUGCUUUGGUAGAUCUGGGAUACAUGGAUGGGGCCUUUUUGCACGGAGAAACAUUCAAGAAGGAGAAAUGGUCCUUGAAUAUCGUGGUGAACAGGUGAGACGCAGCAUUGCAGAUCUUCGGGAGGCACGCUACCGGUUAGAAGGCAAAGACUGCUAUCUUUUCAAGAUCAGUGAAGAGGUAGUGGUAGAUGCCACUGACAAAGGAAACAUUGCACGCCUAAUAAACCACUCAGUAAGUUGCUCUGAGAACUUUGGAUUUUUUUUUUGGAGAUGUUCUUUUUCCUGCAUUCUGCUUCUACAGUCACCUCUGCAUAUCCUUUGCUUAUCAUUUCAUGCUAAACCAACAUAUCCAGAUAAAAGUUUGAAAUUGUUACUUGAUAUCCUCAAAUUCGAAUGCUUGGGACCUUUUCCAUUCCAUAUUGUAGCACUCUACAAUUUGUGAUUUAAUUAGUUCAAGGUUAUAAUUUUUUUAUCUUCUUUAUCUUUCAAGUAUGGUGUCACGUAUUUUCUUGUCACGGUAUUAUCGAUUUAUCCUUGAUACAGUGUAUGCCAAAUUGCUAUGCGAGGAUCAUGAGCGUGGGUGAUGAUGAAAGCCGAAUUGUCCUUAUCGCUAAGACAAAUGUAUCUGCUGGUGAUGAGCUGACGUAUAAUUACUCGUUUGAUCCUAAUGAGCCUGAUGAAUUCAAAGUUCCUUGUUUACGUGAAGCUCCGAACUGCUGGAAAUUCAUGAAUUAGGUUUUAUACUCACAGCAGAGUCAUUGUUUCUCCGCAAGAAGCACUAACCCAAUCCCAUGCCCACGGGAUCUCAAUCAUACAAAAACCUUUUUUUGACAGUCUUUGAGCUUAGUGUUCUGGUUCAGACAUUUGUGUAUAUCAGUUGACUCACCUUCAUUCGCCUAUAAUUAAAAGCUAACCCAUUUUCAUUGCUAAUUGGAGCUUUUCUUCAGAAAGUCUUGCGUUGACUUCGACAUUGAAAUUGCUUGAUCAAUUGUUGCCCAUGAAAUUCAAUAUUACGAGGUGAUUCGACUCUUAAAUCACAAUGCAUGAUAACCCUUAAUAAACAUGGGGAAAAAAAUGAAAAAAUAAAGAAAAAAUACUAUUCAUAUGCAUAAUUAUCAUAAGCCUACAUGCUUAUGCUCUCUCCUUAGUCUUCGCUUUCAUAACAAUUACUACCUUCCUUCCACUUGAACAAUACAAUAAAUAAAGAGAUAAAAUAAAAUUGAAAUAUAUAGUACUUAAGAAACUAAUGAACCCAUUUUAGUUUAUUGGUUAUUAAUUAAGAGUAAAUUAUACAGACCACUUUGAGUAUGUGCUUUUUACUUGUAUAAAUGUGGGGUGUACUUUGCACUUGCUCAAUAAUUUUGCCUUAAAUGAGAAAAAUGUCAACGAAAUUGAAAUUAUUUCCAUUGCAGUUUGUUAAAAUGUUUGGAUUGAUUUUUACAGUGAACAUGAAUACUUGUAAUCU
rnacentral:misc_RNA from 1 species